CUUUUGGGACGGCAUCAUCAACUCCUUCGCCAGACCCGGGUGGGCUGUGUGUGUUGGCUGGGUAAUAUUUGCCUGUACACACGGUUAUGGAGGUCCUGUCAACUGGUUCCUGUCGCUCCGUAUGUGGAAGCUCCCCUCUCGGCUUUCCUACGCGAUGUACAUCUUCCAUUAUUCCUUAAUGGUUAUUGUCAAUACUACUUCUGUGUCGACGAGUCACUUCUCCGUUCAGCGCUAUUUCUACCGAUUCUUAGCUGACUUCGUGACGGCGUUUAUAGUCGCUUUUGUAGCGACCGUGCUGAUAGAUUCUCCUUUCUCUACACUUAUACAUAUGGCGAUAGGAGGA